rnacentral:rRNA from 1 species
AUUGAACGCUGGCGGAAUGCUUUACACAUGCAAGUCGAACGGUAGAGGGGGCAACCCCUCGAGAGUGGCGAACGGGUGAGUAAUAUAUUGGAACGUGCCCAGUCGUGGGGGAUAACGUAGCGAAAGUUACGCUAAUACCGCAUACGAUCUAAGGAUGAAAGCGGGGGAUCGCAAGACCUCGCGCGAUUGGAGCGGCCGAUAUCAGAUUAGGUAGUUGGUGGGGUAAAGGCCCACCAAGCCAACGAUCUGUAGCUGGUCGGAGAGGACGACCAGGCACACUGGGACCGAGACACGGUCCAGUCUCCUACGGGAGGCAGCAGGGGGGAAUUUUGGACAAUGGGCGAAAGCCUGAUCCAGCCAUUCCUCGUGCAGGAGGAAGGCCCUCGGGUUGUAAACUGCUUUUGUACAGAACGAAAAGGUUUCUACUAAUACUAGGCGCUCAUGACGGUACUGUAAGAAUAAGCACCGGCUAACUACGUGCCAGCCGCCGCCGUAA